UGGCAAAGACUCCUGGGAAUAAAAUC
rnacentral:piRNA from 1 species